GAUGAACGCUAGCGACAGGCCUAACACAUGCAAGUCGAGGGGCAGCACGGUGUAGCAAUACACGGGUGGCGACCGGCGCACGGGUGAGUAACGCGUAUGCAACCUGCCUACUACAAGGGGAUAACCCGUUGAAAGACGGACUAAUACCCUAUAACACAGGGAAUCCGCAUGGAUAUAUUUGUUAAAGAUUUAUCGGUAGUAGAUGGGCAUGCGUUCCAUUAGCUUGUUGGUGAGGUAACGGCUCACCAAGGCAACGAUGGAUAGGGGAACUGAGAGGUUGAUCCCCCACACUGGAACUGAGACACGGUCCAAACUCCUACGGGAGGCAGCAGUGAGGAAUAUUGGUCAAUGGACGAGAGUCUGAACCAGCCAAGUCGCGUGAAGGAAGACGGCCCUACGGGUUGUAAACUUCUUUUGUAAGGGAAUAAAUAGUCUUACGAGCUAAGACGUUGCAGGUACCUUACGAAUAAGGAUCGGCUAACUCCGUGCCAGCAGCCGCGGUAAUACGGAGGAUCCGAGCGUUAUCCGGAUUUAUUGGGUUUAAAGGGUGCGCAGGCGGCAUGUUAAGUCGGCGGUGAAAUUUUGCAGCUCAACUGUAAAAGAGCCUUCGAAACUGGCAAGCUUGAGUGUGGAUGAAGUAGGCGGAAUUUGUGGUGUAGCGGUGAAAUGCAUAGAUAUCACAAAGAACACCGAUUGCGCAGGCAGCUUACUAAACCAUAACUGACGCUCAUGCACGAAGGCGUGGGGAUCAAACAGGAUUAGAUACCCUGGUAGUCCACGCAGUAAACGAUGAUUACUGGCUGUUUGCGAUACAAUAUAAGCGGCUGAGCGAAAGCGUUAAGUAAUCCACCUGGGGAGUACGUUCGCAAGAAUGAAACUCAAAGGAAUUGACGGGGGCCCGCACAAGCGGAGGAACAUGUGGUUUAAUUCGAUGAUACGCGAGGAACCUUACCCGGGCUUGAAAUGCAUCUGAUGUAUUCGGAAACGGAUAUUCCCUAUGGGGCAGAUGUGUAGGUGCUGCAUGGUUGUCGUCAGCUCGUGCCGUGAGGUGUCGGCUUAAGUGCCAUAACGAGCGCAACCCUCAUCGUCAGUUACCAUCAGGUAAAGCUGGGGACUCUGGCGAGACUGCCAUCGUAAGAUGCGAGGAAGGUGGGGAUGACGUCAAAUCAUCAUGCCCCUUAUGACCUGGGCUACACACGUACUACAAUGGCAGGAAACAGAGGGAAGCAAUACCGCGAGGAGGAGCAAAUCCCUAAAAACUGUCCCAGUUCGGAUUGCAGGCUGCAACUCGCCUGCAUGAAGUCGGAAUUGCUAGUAAUCGCGAAUCAGCAUGUCGCGGUGAAUACGUUCCCGGACCUUGUACACACCGCCCGUCACACCAUGGGAGUCGGUAACACCCGAAGCCGGUUGCCUAACCGCAAGGAGGGCGCCGUCGAAGGUGGGAUUGAUGACUGGGGUG
rnacentral:rRNA from 1 species